rnacentral:lncRNA from 1 species
CAUGAAUUGGCAUCAAGAACGAUAGCAACCAGGGACUCAGAUGCACUCAGGACCCUCACUCUCUCCGCCUUCUGCAUCACCUGUGUUCUCUUAGCCAACAAGAUGAGCUUCUUUCAUUGGUCAGGGAACACAGUCGCCAAGUGUUUCUACUUUUACAGCCUCACCACUUUGCAACCAGAGAGAUGAUUCGCUGCCCCGAAGCACUCCACGGAUGGGCAAGGCCCAGCCUGCGUCGUUGCCUUUCUUGGGACCAGUUUCUUUGGCCAGAGGAGGACUGCUUCCCAGUCUCCCCACCACACUUGGCAGCGGCACCAGUCCACCGCAAGUCUUGCCGAGGAUUCGUAUCCCUUGAAGGAGCUGGUGUAAGCCUGAGGCCUCUGGCAGUCAUCUUGUGGAAUCCAAAUGGAAUCAGUGGGUACAUAUCAGAGAAAGAAAAGGAAGAUCAAGCUGUGCGCCUGCCAGUGUCCAC